rnacentral:rRNA from 1 species
GGCGAACGGGUGAGUAACACGUGGGCAAUCUGCCCUGCACUCUGGGACAAGCCCUGGAAACGGGGUCUAAUACCGGAUAUGACCCUCGCAGGCAUCUGUGAGGGUGUAAAGCUCCGGCGGUGCAGGAUGAGCCCGCGGCCUAUCAGCUUGUUGGUGAGGUAACGGCUCACCAAGGCGACGACGGGUAGCCGGCCUGAGAGGGCGACCGGCCACACUGGGACUGAGACACGGCCCAGACUCCUACGGGAGGCAGCAGUGGGGAAUAUUGCACAAUGGGCGAAAGCCUGAUGCAGCGACGCCGCGUGAGGGAUGACGGCCUUCGGGUUGUAAACCUCUUUCAGCAGGGAAGAAGCGAAAGUGACGGUACCUGCAGAAGAAGCGCCGGCUAACUACGUGCCAGCAGCCGCGGUAAUACGUAGGGCGCAAGCGUUGUCCGGAAUUAUUGGGCGUAAAGAGCUCGUAGGCGGCUUGUCGCGUCGGUUGUGAAAGCCCGGGGCUUAACCCCGGGUCUGCAGUCGAUACGGGCAGGCUAGAGUUCGGUAGGGGAGAUCGGAAUUCCUGGUGUAGCGGUGAAAUGCGCAGAUAUCAGGAGGAACACCGGUGGCGAAGGCGGAUCUCUGGGCCGAUACUGACGCUGAGGAGCGAAAGCGUGGGGAGCGAACAGGAUUAGAUACCCUGGU